CCCGCGCAGCGGCCAUUUUGUCUUAUCGGCUCCUUUUUAGAGGAGGCUUUUUCGGCCCGCGAGCCGGCCGAAGAGGUUGGCGACGGUGUCGCCGGUGUUUUCUUCGGCGGGUGCCAGGGCUGGUGGGAGUAGCCGCCCGAGAGAAGCACCAUGAUUUCGGCCGCGCAGUUGUUGGAUGAGUUAAUGGGCCGGGACCGAAACCUCGCCCCGGAUGAGAAGCGCAGCAACGUGCGGUGGGACCACGAGAGCGUUUGUAAAUAUUAUCUGUGUGGUUUUUGUCCUGCGGAAUUGUUCACAAACACUCGUUCAGAUCUUGAAGGAUACAGCCAGAUGUUUUUCCCCAGGCAGAAGAGAAGAGGAUUCUUUAGAGAAAGUGAACAGUUCCAGAGAAGUGAUCUACAGGUCCAUGUGAAAAAAUUCAUGAUGAAAAUCUACGAAAACAGUAUGAGAAGAGUUCUCGUUUCAUGAAAGUUGGCUACGAGAGAGAUUUUCUGAGAUACUUGCAGAGCUUACUUGCAGAAGUGGAACGUAGAAUUAGACGAGGCCAUGCUCGUCUGGCAUUAUCUCAAAACCAGCAGUCCUCUGGGGCAGCUGGCCCAACAGGCAAAAAUGAAGAAAAAAUUCAGGUUCUAACAGAUAAAAUUGAUGUACUCCUGCAACAGAUUGAAGAAUUAGGAUCUGAAGGAAAAGUAGAAGAAGCCCAGGGAAUGAUGAAAUUAGUUGAACAGUUAAAAGAAGAGAGAGAAUUGCUUAGGUCCACAACAUCGACCAUUGAAAGUUUUGCUGCCCAAGAAAAACAAAUGGAAGUUUGUGAAGUGUGUGGAGCUUUUUUGAUAGUAGGAGAUGCCCAGUCCCGGGUAGAUGACCAUUUAAUGGGAAAACAGCACAUGGGCUAUGCCAAAAUUAAAGCUACUGUAGAAGAAUUAAAAGAAAAAUUAAGAAAAAGAACUGAAGAACCUGAUCGUGACGAGCGUUUAAAGAAGGAGAAGCAAGAACGGGAAGAAAGAGAAAAAGAGCGGGAGAGAGAAAGGGAAGAAAGAGAAAGGAAAAGACGAAGAGAGGAGGAAGAAAGAGAAAAGGAAAGGGCUCGCGACAGGGAGAGAAGAAAGAGAAGUCGUUCACGAAGUCGACACUCAAGCCGGACUUCUGACCGAAGAUGCAGCAGGUCUCGGGACCACAAAAGAUCACGAAGUAGAGAAAGAAGGCGAAGCAGAAGUAGAGAUCGCCGAAGAAGCAGAAGCCAUGAUAGAUCAGAAAGAAAGCAUAGAUCUCGUAGUCGGGAUCGAAGAAGAUCAAAAAGCCGGGAUCGAAAGUCAUAUAAGCACAGGAGCAAAAGUCGGGACAGAGAACAAGAUAGAAAAUCCAAGGAGAAAGAAAAGAAGGGAUCUGAUGAUAAAAAAAGUAGUGUGAAGUCCAGUAGUCGAGAAAAACAGAGUGAAGACACAAACACUGAAUCAAAGGAAAGUGAUACUAAGAAUGAGGUCAAUGGGACCAGUGAAGACAUUAAAUCUGAAGUGCAGCGUAAGUAUGCACAGAUGAAGAUGGAACUAAGCCGAGUAAGAAGACAUACAUCUUCUGAAGGAAAAGACAGUGUAGUCCUGCAAAACAUUUUGAGGUACAUUGUUUUGUCUCAGCUAUUUUGUAGCAGACUCGUGCCCCAUUAGUGUGCCUCUUUGGAAAUUAUCGCCCACAUUUGUAAUAUAGUCGCCAUUGAAAAGUUAAUUAUCCUUUUUUUUUUUAGGGAUUUUGCUGUCAUUUCUUUUUCUUUUUUUUUUUUUUUAAUAAAAAGGUUGAACUGUUUUUUUUUUUCUUUUUGGUAUUAAGUCCAUCUUGUGUUGGUACAUUGGCAGAGACAUAUGCUUUAAAAACUUAAAUAUUUCUGAGGCACAUGUUGGACUACUUUGUUUUAAUUAAACUGCUAGUUAUUUCUUUGUCAAGGAUGUUUCUAGUUUUUUGCUUUAUUGCCUUGCAUUCUAAUGCAGUUUGUUCUGUAACUCGAGAGCCAGUAGCAUUGGAUUGAUGGAAGUGUAGGGUUUAUGAAUUAUUGCAGCUGACUACCAUACCUCACACAGCGUUGGUGUUGUGAGCGGCCCAUGAAAAGCCAAAUUAAAAAUCAAGGAUUCAGUCAAACUAAGCAGGUACUCAUGCCAGGUACUCCUUUCUCUACCCACAUCCAUGUUUGAAUGCUAUUGCCUGUGAUCUUUACGCUUAACUGUUGUGUAUCUUUUUUGUUCUUUACAAGAAGCACAGAGGGGUUUUUUGUGUAUUGCGUGAAAUUUAUAAAUCAAAUGUUAACAGAAUGGAAUUUUUUUUCAACUGUGUGUAGGGAUGCAGUGGUGCCCAGAAUUAGAUUUCUUUAAAGAAUUUUAAAUACAAUAAGCACUUCAUAUUAUUCGCCUUGUUACACUCAAUGCAAUUCUCAAGUCUUUAAGAGGUAUGUGCUUAAUAUUUCCUACUGUGUAGGAGAACUUUUCAGUCAGCCCUAGGAAUACAGGAAUAGUCACUGGCUGAUGCAUUUAAAGCAGCCGUGAAUAGCAAGAAUAGACUUCAAUGUGUGAAAUAAACAAAGGACUGAUGAACCAUAUAGAAUGAAUUUGGGUUUUUUAAGAACUAUUAAAAGUCAGGUUUUAUAAGAGUUCUUAAAACCUGUAAACCGUUCAUCCUUUGGGCUAGUGGCGUGGGAUAGAAUAUUCCUGAUGAAAGGAAGUACCAAUUAGUUGGUUUGUCGAUGGCAUUCCUUUUUGAGGGCAGCCACGUAAGGUGAUGUCUGUGUGCACAUUCCCAUGUAGGCACGCACUCACAGGCACACGCGUUAAGACCACGUUGAUGCCUCGACAAUGAAAAAGGAUGCAAAAAGCACUCCAUGUACAUAUUAUUAGCAGUUAGUGACUGGGCCAACACUUAGUCAUAAAAGUUUGCCUUUUACAUGUUGUCUAAUUAUCAUUUUUCCCCAAAUUUUGCAUUAUAGGACUACUGUUCGAAGAUUUUUGGAAGAAAACUGAAAACUGCAUAAAGCGAAGACCGACAUUAAAAUGAGGUGAAAGAAAACUAUAGUGGCAUAGAAAAAGCUCAGUUAGUUGUUUGUUUGUUUUUUUAUUAAAAAUUAAUUCAGGACUGAUGUGACCUACCAGAUUUCAGAACAUGUGUUAAUAUCGUAUAUAUGCCACUGAAAACUUAGGUCAUGUAUCAUAUUUUUUUCUUUGAGACUUUUUAAGAAAUAUUACCUAAACAUGUGGCUUGCUCAGUGUUUAAUUGCAAGUUUUCAUUCUUGGACUUUGAAAACGGGAUUAAACGUUAGUAUUUGUGUGAAUCAGACUAAGUGGGGUUCCAUUUUUACAUCUGCUAUACCUAGCCUUUGGAUUUAGAAGUGAAAAUAAAGUAUCUCUGACUUUCUGUUACAAAUUUGAUUGUCUCUGUCAUUGAAAAGUUUUAGUAUUAAUCCUUUUCUAAUAAAGGUAUUGACUCU